rnacentral:rRNA from 1 species
AGCGAACGCUGGCGGCAUGCCUAACACAUGCAAGUCGAACGAGACCUUCGGGUCUAGUGGCGCACGGGUGCGUAACGCGUGGGAACCUGCCCUUAGGUUCGGAAUAACUCCCCGAAAGGGGUGCUAAUACCGGAUAAUGUCUUCGGACCAAAGAUUUAUCGCCUUUGGAUGGGCCCGCGUUGGAUUAGCUAGUUGGUAGGGUAAAAGCCUACCAAGGCGACGAUCCAUAGCUGGUCUGAGAGGAUGAUCAGCCACACUGGGACUGAGACACGGCCCAGACUCCUACGGGAGGCAGCAGUGGGGAAUAUUGGACAAUGGGCGAAAGCCUGAUCCAGCAAUGCCGCGUGAGUGAUGAAGGCCUUAGGGUUGUAAAGCUCUUUUACCCGGGAUGAUGAUGACAGUACCGGGAGAAUAAGCUCCGGCUAACUCCGUG